rnacentral:rRNA from 1 species
GACGAACGCUUGGCGGCGUGCCUAAUACAUGCAAGUAGAACGCUGAAGGAGGAGCUGCUUCUCCCGGAUGAGUUUGCGAACGGGUGAGUAACGCGUAGGUAACCUGCCUGGUAGCGGGGGAUAACUAUUGGAAACGAUAGCUAAUACCGCAUAAGAGUAGAUGUUGCAUGACAUUUGCUUAAAAGGUGCAAUUGCAUCACUACCAGAUGGACCUGCGUUGUAUUAGCUAGUUGGUGGGGUAACGGCUCACCAAGGCGACGAUACAUAGCCGACCUGAGAGGGUGAACGGCCACACUGGGACUGAGACACGGCCCAGACUCUACGGGAGGCAGCAGUAGGGAAUCUUCGGCAAUGGACGGAAGUCUGACCGAGCAAACGCCGCGGUGAGUGAAAGAAAGGUUUUCGGGAUCGUAAAAGGCUUCUGGUGUAAAGAGAAAGAACGAAGU